CCCUUAGAUGUUCUGGGCCGCACGCGCGCUACAAUGAUGAAUUCAACGAGUUUAUAACCUUGGUUGAAAAGCCUGGGUAAUCUUUUGAACUUUCGUCGUGAUGGGGCUAGACCCUUGCAAUUAUUGGUCUCCAACGAGGAAUUCCUAGUAAACGCAAGUCAUCAGCUUGCAUUGAUUACGUCCCUGCCCUUUGUACACACCGCCCGUCGCACCUACCGAUUGAAUGGUCCGGUGGAAUCUUCGGAUUGAGACUUUGAUUUCUUCACGGAAAACGCUGUUUUAAAAAGUUGAUUAAACCUUACCAUUUAGAGGAAGGUGAAGUCGUAACA
rnacentral:rRNA from 1 species